GUUUUCUAAUUUUUUUCUUUCUUUCUUUUCUUCU
rnacentral:sRNA from 1 species